GGGGUUGUAGCUUAGUGGUGGAGCACUUGCCUAGCACGUGAGAGGUAUUGGGUUCGAUCCUCAGCACCA
rnacentral:tRNA from 1 species